rnacentral:rRNA from 1 species
CCUACGGGUGGCAGCAGUGGGAAAUAUUGGACAAUGGGCGAAAGCCUGAUCCAGCCAUGCCGCGUGUGUGAAGAAGGCCUUCGGGUUGUAAAGCACUUUCAGUGGGGAAGAAAGCCUUGGGGCUAAUACCCUCGAGGAAGGACAUCACCCACAGAAGAAGCACCGGCUAACUCCGUGCCAGCAGCCGCGGUAAUACGGAGGGUGCGAGCGUUAAUCGGAAUUACUGGGCGUAAAGCGCGCGUAGGCGGUCUGAUAAGCCGGUUGUGAAAGCCCCGGGCUCAACCUGGGAACGGCAUCCGGAACUGUCAGGCUAGAGUGCAGGAGAGGAAGGUAGAAUUCCCGGUGUAGCGGUGAAAUGCGUAGAGAUCGGGAGGAAUACCAGUGGCGAAGGCGGCCUUCUGGACUGACACUGACGCUGAGGUGCGAAAGCGUGGGUAGCAAACAGGAUUAGAUACCCCUGUAGUC